UACGUAGGUGGCAAGCGUUGUCCGGAUUUAUUGGGCGUAAAGCGAGCGCAGGCGGUUCAUUAAGUCUGAUGUGAAAGCCCCCGGCUCAACCGGGGAGGGUCAUUGGAAACUGGUGGACUUGAGUGCAGAAGAGGAGAGUGGAAUUCCAUGUGUAGCGGUGAAAUGCGUAGAUAUAUGGAGGAACACCAGUGGCGAAGGCGCCUUUCUGGACUGUAACUGACACUGAGGCUCGAAAGCGUGGGGAGCAAACAGGAGUAGAGACCCUGGUAGUCCACGCCGUAAACGAUGAGUGCUAAGUGUUGGAGAGUUUCCGCCCUUCAGUGCUGCAGCAAACGCAUUAAGCACUCCGCCUGGGGAGUACGACCGCAAGGUUGAA
rnacentral:rRNA from 1 species